UACGUAGGGUGCAAGCGUUAAUCGGAAUUACUGGGCGUAAAGCGUGCGCAGGCGGCUUUGCAAGACAGAUGUGAAAUCCCCGGGCUUAACCUGGGAACUGCAUUUGUGACUGCAUGGCUAGAGUGCGGCAGAGGGGGAUGGAAUUCCGCGUGUAGCGGUGAAAUGCGUAGAUAUCAGGAGGAAUACCGGUGGCGAAAGCGACUCUCUGGACGGCAACUGACGCUGAGGCACGAAAGCGUGGGGAGCGAACAGG
rnacentral:rRNA from 1 species